UACGUAGGGUGCAAGCGUUGUCCGGAAUCAUUGGGCGUAAAGCGCGCGUAGGCGGCCCGAUAAGUCCGCUGUAAAAGUCAACGGCUCAACUGCUGAAAGCCGGUGGAUACUGUCGGGCUAGAGUACGGAAGAGGCAAGUGGAAUUCCUGGUGUAGCGGUGGAAUGCGCAGAUAUCAGGAGGAACACCUAUAGCGAAGGCAGCUUGCUGGGACGUUACUGACGCUAAGGCGCGAAAGCGUGGGGAGCGAACAGG
rnacentral:rRNA from 1 species